rnacentral:hammerhead_ribozyme from 1 species
AUCCAGAGGAUAAGUCCCAAACAGGACUAAACACGUGUCCUGGAC